GACAGUGGAAGACAGGGGGAGACAGAAAGAGACAGGGAGAGACUAAAGAGCGAGUGAAAGACAGGAGACCGGGGGUGGGGGGGAGGGGACAGAAGGAGACAGGGAGAGACACAAGUUGACAGGGAGAGACUGGAGACGGAAAGAGACAGUGAAAGAUCAUCAGAGACAGAAGAAGAUGGUGAGAGACAAACGGUGAAAGGCAGAGACAGGCAUGAGAGACAGAGAGUCUGUGAGACACACCUAGAUGAGCUACAAACCGAGAGACAGUCUCACAGAGAGCCAGCCGGCGGGCCCAGAGACAGUGAGAGACAUAGCAAUAAGGUUGGGGGUGGGGAGGGGGCGGAUUACAGGGUCCGCUCAGCGCCCACCCGCCCACCCUUCGUCCUGUCCCCGGCCUGGCAAGGCCCGUUGGCGGCCCCAGCGCCCGGCCUCGACCUUCAGCCUUGGAGUGACCCAGAUCACGAGGAUGGACUGACAGCUCCGGAGAGCGAAGCCCUCGAUUCCUCUGCCCAACAGAGAUGGCAGAGAGAGCCACCGCGGAAUCUCUCCACCCAACACUCUCAUACGGAGGAACCGCUUCUCGGAGGGGGCGAACAGGCCGGCUCCCUCUCUUUACCCUUCCCCUGGAGACGUCUGACAGGAGGGUCACUGAGACGAUCAUUUUGGAGCGGGAGGGUCGUGUAGGAUGGGCUGAAUGAAUAAGGAAUGGAUCGAGAUCACCCCGCGUCUCUUCGCCAUCCCUCGAAGCAAUCCCGUCAAGAUCAAAGAACUCGCGAACACCGCCCCCGCUCCCAUCUUCUGGGGGAGCCGCUGUGGAAACAAAUCCCCGGUUCUGCCAUAUCUGCUGAACCCCUGAGCCAUCCCAGAUCCCCCAACACACUUCCUCCUUGGCUGGAGCCAUGUCCGCAUCGACCAUCUCCUUGCUGGUGCAUUGUACAAAGGCUGGGCCGCUGUUCAAAUACCUCCACUGCAGGCGGUCGGAUGGCCUUACUUUAAGAUUCCCGAAUCCUCCGGGAUGGGGAGCGUCAAACUCCAACAGGAUUAAGAUCAUCAGCGAUUGCGUUUCCUGAGCGCUUACUAUGUGCAGAGCACCGUACUACGUACUUGGGAGAGUACAGUACAGCAGGAGUUGGCAGACACACUUCCCGCCAUGACGAGCUUCAGAUGACAGCCAUGAGGACCCCUCCAAGACCAGCAGCUGCAGCUCUGACCUCUCGCCUCUCCAGCCCAAUAUUUCUCUGUCGGCGGCUGCCCUGUCACUGACCCGGAUUUCGGAAGGCGUCUCCCAGCCGCCCCACGGGCCUCCGCCCCGACCGACCGCCGGCGGCAGAAUCGUCUUCCUCCGACAGCGUUCUCCUCGCCACGUCGAGCCCCAGCUCUGAAGCCAACGGUGACUCCCGUCCGUCGCCCCCUCGAAACAAUUCCCACCCGGCCGUCGUGAGCCCCUUAACCCUACGAUUCCCCCCGUCCCUACCGGCCUCCGCCUCCUGCUCCCUUAGCUCUUCUCUAGCCAAAGACCGCCCCGUUCGAAUCGCCAGAGCCUUAACCCCGGCACAUUCUGUUUCUCCGUCCUCCUCUUCCCCGACGGGCCAUCCCCUUCCCUCCUGUGGAACGCUCGCUCCUCCCCUAAAGCCGCCACGGUCUUCCCAGUGGUCCUUCGGCAUUCCCGUCUCGACGCGCCCCCAUCGACCCACUUGGGGAUGCUUCGGUCCUUCGUUUCCGUGUACGCUGUACCCGAUUACGUCCCGGGCACACGGUCGAUGUACUUUGCUGUCCUGUGUGUUUGUGUGUGCGUGUGUACGUGUGCGUGUGUGUGUAUACGGGCUUGUCCUGUCUCGCCUCGUCGACUGUAAGCUCCUCGAGCCGAGGGGCUGCGUCUUCUCUCCUCCGUGACUCCUCGUGGCGCCUUGCAGGCGGAGAAGCUCCUAACGGCCGGUCGGCCGGCCGGAGAGAGAGCCUCCCGAGCCCGACGUACAAAAGGAGCCGAGCGUCCCAAGAGAAAACAAGACUUCCUAAAGGGUACCUCAUCCCGAAAGAGUAACGGCGGAAUGGGCGGAAUCUAACUCAUCGCCUUCCCAGCCAGGGGCUGACGGAGCCGUCCUGGCUAAGUGGCGGGAGGCGAUUUGCCUCUUGAAAUUCCUGGCUGCCUCCUUGUCGCCUGAUAUCAGGCCGGUUUCCCUGCCCAUUCGGCCGGACCCCGAGCCUGAUCGACCUCGGACCGUUCCCCGUCCUCUUCUGAAAGGAGAGCAGAGGGCAGAAGAAAUGUCCUGAGGGAAGUUUUUAAAAGGAAGAGCCUCAACGGGCGGUAGAAAUCAAAACUCCCCUCUUGGAGGUAGCUAGUUCCAUGGGCUUAGUACACCGCUCUGCACCCGGUGAGCGAUCAGAUACCAUCGAUGGAUUAGCAGAAAUGAGGGGAAGUUUUUGCCGCUAAAAAAAACAAACAGAACUAUGGGGAAAUGUGCUUACUAGAUAAAGUUGAUCUUUGAUACCAAUUCUGCUGUGAUAAUUCAUGAGUGAGGCACGAGACUUUCAGCAUAAAAAAUAAAUCAGCCCAGAUUUCUAAAUGUGCGGUGUUUCUUGUGAAAGAUCCUCCCUUCAUUUGAAAGCUACGUGGCCAGGGGACGUGUCUCCCGACUCUGUGGUGAUGUACCCUCCCGAGCGCUUAGUACGGUGCUCUGCACAAAGUUAGCGCUCAAUGAGUAUGACUUGAAGGGCACGAAGGUUCAGGUACAGUUGGGCUUAUCCUUCUGGGACGUCAGGUGCUUACUAUGUGUCAAGCACUGUCCCGAGCGCGGGGGUAGAUACAAGACCGUCAGGUUGGACACAGUUCCAGUAGGGCAGAGGUGGUGGUUGGCUCGUGUUGACGUCUUGAUUCCAAACCAACCCAUGGAAAUGAACUUUCACCCAUUUCAAAAGUUGGGAGGCCCACGUUCAGAAGCAGAGAAGCAAUCAAUCAAUGGGAUUUACUGAGCGCUCACUAUGGGCAGGGCACUGUACUAAGCGCUUGGGAGAGUACAGUCCAACGGAAUUGGCAGACACGUUCUCUGCCCACAACGAGCUGACAGUCUAGAAGCAGUGCGAUAAUAUCUUGGCUUUGCCUUCUUUCUUUCUCUUCAUGGCACUUAAAGAGCUGGUUGGCAGCUAAUGUUCUUCAGCUUUUUAUUUUAUUAUUAAAAUGAGAAUUUCCUCCCUUCUCCAGAAGCUGCGGUGCUCUUCUACAACCCCACAAAUCGAAAUGAGAAAUGUAUUCCUGUUUGCUCAAUGGUCCUCUGUCUUUAGAUUACCUCUGGGGAGCAGAGGAAGAGAAAAAUGUAAAUAUCUGAAGCGUUCGUAAAGAAAUGUGUAAGAUCCUAGGGAAAACAAAAGCACUAGAUGUAGCACUUUUGUGGGAAGAGUCUAGAAUGAAGAGGGAUUUCACUCAUUCUAUAGUAAACUCUUGACACAUUUAUAACAAAGUACUUUGUAUGUUUACAUAGUCUUUAAAAACCUGUCUUUGUCGUACACCUGAAAAUAUUGUAUUUUUCCAUUCCUGCUGGAUUUUUUUUUUUGCAAAAGGAUAUUUUAAUAAAAUUACAUUUCUAAACAUGAA